CCAAGAAGACAAAACAGCAGUAGCGGAGGCUCAGUGAAAGUGAGAAGACGUGAUAAACUGUUUAUAGACUGGCAUCCAAACUUUAACACAUACCUGGCCAUGAAGCAAGUGUA